CAGCAAACCUCAAACCUUGUCAACAAUCUGUAUAUUGGUCCUUGAUUUGAAAGUUCUUCAUUAUUCCACGUCUACCCCUGGGUCCCAAAACCUGAAAUUCAUUUAGACUUCCACUGUGUGGGUUUUGAAUUGAAGAACUGGAGGUAGAAGAAGAAAUGCAAGACAAGAGUUAUCCAGUAGGCAGAGCACUGACCUUGCACACAGGAGACUGGGUUUACCUUUGGGAGUCUGUGACUUCAGGGUGGUGCCGCACUGGAACAGGUUGCCCAAGGAGGCUGUGGAUGCCCCAUCCCUGGAGGCAUUCAAGGCCAGGCUGGAUGUGGCUCUGGGCAGCCUGGUCUGGGGGUUGGCGACCCUGCACAUAGCAGGGGGGUUGAAACUGGGUGAUCAUUGUGGUCCUUUCCAACCCAGGCCAUUCGAUGAUUCUAUGAUUCUCUUGUACCUUCUCUUGUAUCCCAAGAUGCAGUAGAACCCAUGUAUGAGGAAAGCAUGAGCAAUUGUAUAUUGUGGAUCUUUUUACAGGAGUGGGAAAGACAAAUUAAUGGACAAAAAGCCAAAGUUUUGCUUUUCCUGAGUUCUCAUUUACUGUCCAAAGCAGAAAUUCACAUGAUGUAGAAAUGAAAAUGCUUGG
ensembl:lncRNA